rnacentral:rRNA from 1 species
UACGUAGGUGGCAAGCGUUGUCCGGAUUUAUUGGGUUUAAAGGGUGCGUAGGCGGUUUUGUAAGUCAGUGGUGAAAUACUCUAGCUUAACUAGAGGGGUGCCAAUGAUACUGCAAGACUUGAGUACAGAUGAGGUAGGCGGAAUUGACGGUGUAGCGGUGAAAUGCAUAGAUAUCGUCAAGAACACCUAUAGCGAAGGCAGCUUACUGGGCUGUAACUGACGCUGAGGCACGAAAGUGUGGGGAUCAAACAGG